GACGAACGCUGGCGGCGUGCUUAACACAUGCAAGUCGAACGGAAAGGCCUUUUCGGAGGUACUCGAGUGGCGAACGGGUGAGUAACACGUGGGUGAUCUGCCCUGUACUCUGGGAUAAGCCUGGGAAACUGGGUCUAAUACCGGAUAGGACCGCACUUUAGUGUGUGUGGUGGAAAGUUUUUUCGGUGUAGGAUGAGCCCGCGGCCUAUCAGCUUGUUGGUGGGGUAAUGGCCUACCAAGGCGGCGACGGGUAGCCGGACUGAGAGGUUGGUCGGCCACAUUGGGACUGAGAUACGGCCCAGACUCCUACGGGAGGCAGCAGUGGGGAAUAUUGCACAAUGGGCGCAAGCCUGAUGCAGCGACGCCGCGUGGGGGAUGACGGCCUUCGGGUUGUAAACUCCUUUCGCCAGGGACGAAGCGUUUUGUGACGGUACCUGGAGAAGAAGCACCGGCUAACUACGUG
rnacentral:rRNA from 1 species